rnacentral:rRNA from 1 species
CGUAGGGUGCGAGCGUUAAUCGGAAUUACUGGGCGUAAAGCGUGCGCAGGUGGUUUUGUAAGACAGGCGUGAAAUCCCCGGGCUCAACCUGGGAACUGCGCUUGUGACUGCAAGGCUAGAGUACGGCAGAGGGGGGUGGAAUUCCACGUGUAGCAGUGAAAUGCGUAGAGAUGUGGAGGAACACCAAUGGCGAAGGCAGCCCCCUGGGUCGAUACUGACGCUCAUGCACGAAAGCGUGGGUAGCAAACAGGAUUAGAUACCCUGGUAGUCCACGCCCUAAACGAUGUCAACUAGGUGUUGGGUGGGCAAAACCAUUUAGUACCGGAGCUAACGCGUGAAGUUGACCGCCUGGGGAGUACGGCCGCAAGGUUA